CCUACGGGAGGCUGCAGUGAGGAAUAUUGGUCAAUGGACGAGAGUCUGAACCAGCCAAGUAGCGUGAAGGAUGACUGCCCUAUGGGUUGUAAACUUCUUUUAUAUGGGAAUAAAAUGUUUCACGUGUGGGAUUUUGUAUGUACCAUAUGAAUAAGGAUCGGCUAACUCCGUGCCAGCAGCCGCGGUAAUACGGAGGAUCCGAGCGUUAUCCGGAUUUAUUGGGUUUAAAGGGAGCGUAGGUGGAUUGUUAAGUCAGUUGUGAAAGUUUGCGGCUCAACCGUAAAAUUGCAGUUGAAACUGGCAGUCUUGAGUACAGUAGAGGUGAGCGGAAUUCGUGGUGUAGCGGUGAAAUGCUUAGAUAUCACGAAGAACUCCGAUUGCGAAGGCAGUUCACUGGACUGCAACUGACACUGAGGCUCGAAAGUGUGGGUAUCAAACAGGAUUAGAUACCCUUGUAGUC
rnacentral:rRNA from 1 species